AGAAGGGGGAAUCGACAGUCAUUCUCCCCAAAAAUAUCAAAACCACCAUAGCUGAUAGCCAUUAGUCUUCAUCUUCAAGUUUUGUUCUUGGUUGAAUUAAACAUGUAAUUUAGUGUCAAGGACUAAAUUAAGGUGAAGGAGCAGUUGGCCGAACAAAUUGGAUAACAACAAGGAACGGGCCCAGUGAUCAUCGAGCUUUAUUAAGCUUAUUCAAGAUGUGUAGAAGAAAUCGCCAGGCCCAAGAAGAAAGGAAGAUAAUAGCCUGACGAAGGGAAUUGGCGAGCAAAAAUGAAGAAAAUGACCAGACGGAGGAAAUUAGAAGCUGGAGGGCAGAACAGUGAAUUCAAUAGAAAGCUUCUAGAAGAUCGCCUCCACACCUAUAAAAGAGAGAGCACGCAACGUUCAUGAUCAUCACU